rnacentral:rRNA from 2 species
GCCUAUAAUGCAGUCGAGCGAACUGAUUAGAAGCUUGCUUCUAUGACGUUAGCGGCGGACGGGUGAGUAACACGUGGGCAACCUGCCUGUAAGACUGGGAUAACUUCGGGAAACCGAAGCUAAUACCGGAUAGGAUCUUCUCCUUCAUGGGAGAUGAUUGAAAGAUGGUUUCGGCUAUCACUUACAGAUGGGCCCGCGGUGCAUUAGCUAGUUGGUGAGGUAACGGCUCACCAAGGCAACGAUGCAUAGCCGACCUGAGAGGGUGAUCGGCCACACUGGGACUGAGACACGGCCCAGACUCCUACGGGAGGCAGCAGUAGGGAAUCUUCCGCAAUGGACGAAAGUCUGACGGAGCAACGCCGCGUGAGUGAUGAAGGCUUUCGGGUCGUAAAACUCUGUUGUUAGGGAAGAACAAGUACGAGAGUAACUGCUCGUACCUUGACGGUACCUAACCAGAAAGCCACGGCUAACUACGUGCCAGCAGCCGCGGUAAUACGUAGGUGGCAAGCGUUAUCCGGAAUUAUUGGGCGUAAAGCGCGCGCAGGCGGUUUCUUAAGUCUGAUGUGAAAGCCCACGGCUCAACCGUGGAGGGUCAUUGGAAACUGGGGAACUUGAGUGCAGAA